rnacentral:lncRNA from 1 species
UGUAUUCCUACGUUUUUGACCUGUAUAUAAGUGUAUACAGCUGUAUACAUCUUGUAUACAACCUCUUUUUAUGCUUUUUGAGACCUGUUCGUCGGCUUUAAGCUGGUUGACUUGAUAAAGGAAAACGUCGGGCCUAAAUGGCCCAUUUGUAAUGCAAAGGGUAGAAGCCCAAGUCCCAAAGGACUCCUCGAUAGAUCACAUACAUAAAAAACAAAACAAAAAAAAAAACAAAACACAUAAGUACCGUCCAUUGACAAUUUAAUAUUGGAGAAAACAUUCGAUGAAAUGAACCAACAUACUGAGAUUUCAAGCGACUCAUACUUGCAAAAAUUUGACUCCUAGCUUAAGCACAAUACGGAUGGAUUUACCUUGCAUAUGAUAAUUAAUAUAUGUUGACAAUUUAAUAAAAUAACUACACACUAGUGCAACUAUCUAACAAAACAUUUCAAACUCAUGCUAACAGAAAGCAAAUUGGAGUUGUUAAACUUUUGAUGAGCAAUAUUUAAACAUCCCUUAAAGUAAGUAAGUGAGGAAGUUACACAAAAGCGAAUGCACUAGUCCUAUUCUCUUAACAAGAAAACAAUACUAUAUAAAAGAAAACAAAAUACACAUGAAGAAGAAAACCAUAGCGAUGUGAAAUGGACAAUGAACAAAACACCGACACCUCUCAAGCAUUAAACAAAAAGUUGGAACACUACUACCAUCCACAAAGGGGCCAACACAAUAGAGAAAAUCAAUAGCAAUGGUGGACUUGAACAAAUAAACAAGUGACUCCAUAUUAAGGCAAAGAGGAGAUAACAUAUUUGCAAAAUACAAGGAUCAUACACUAUUCAAGUGGAAACUAAAAAAAAACUUUAAUAUGAAGACCAAGGCAAAUCAAUAACAAAGAGAUGCUUAUAGAAAUUAUCAAACCAUAAAUCAUCUAAUUUGAUCAAAUCACGAGAUGAUGUUCAUUUGAGCACAAAAAUCAAAUAACUAUGCAUACUCACUCUACUACAACGUCAAGAGUCUAGAACCCACAAGCCAUCAAGAUCGAUUCAUUUAUGGGAAACAAACGCCAAUAAGAUAGCAAAAAAAAAUAAAAAAAUAAAAAAUAAAAAAUAACCAGAAACUGAUCAGCAGGCAAAUGCUUAACUUAUGCUCAAGAAUUAGCCUACUUAUAGUAAAAAUAAUAAUAAAGGAAAUGAGAACACAAAAAUGAAUUCAAACUUAUUUCACAUACUCAAAAACGUCCAAAACAUAUAGUAGAUGUAACCUGGUGCACUAUUCAAGAUGUAAUAAAUCAUAAGGACGAUAACAAGUGGUAAUCGACGAAUAUGCAUUAAUUCGAAACCAAGCAACCUUUUAUCAUACAACAGCCAUGAGCCAAGCAAAGAACAAAGUCAAUCGAGGAAGCAACAAAACAAACUGAAAUGAGUUGAAAUCAAAAGGGGGUUCACCUUUUCGAGGGCAGCGAAUCGGGACGGCUACAAGCUCAAAGCGACUUCACCACUUACUUCAAAACUCGAGCGAUGAAAUCAGAAUAUCCAAAUCGAUUUUAAACGAAGACCCUUUCAGAACCUAGAACUAAAAAUGCA